ACCCUCUCAGGGUUGUACCCGGAGAGUUUCCAGUACUCUACCAGUCUCGAUGAUGGGAGGGAGAGUAAAGCAGAGGCAUUACCAAUUCCAUUCCUAACUUGGGCAGUGGCUAGUGAGUGGAAGACAAUUUGCUACAAGU